CUGAGAAGAAAGCCAAUGGUGUGGCUUAAAGAUGUAAGUUCUAGAACUGUUGUAUUGUGAGAAAUCCAACCUGAGGAUAAAGAUGACGUAUAGUUGAGGAUGGAGUGGACAGAAUUGUAUAGAAAUGGAGCUACAGGUCUAUGAACAUGAUAACCAUGCAUAAGUCAAACGAUGCCAGAAGAUCUUCCUCCAGUGCGAUAUAACCAUCCUGGAACUAAAGAGACGGAAAGGAAAGGCAUAGUCAAGAAUAUCUUGAAUUUGACUGAUGCUUGUCCACAAGGAGCUAACACAAAUCUAAAAGUGAGAUGUUUUACCUUGAUUUUUUGUUUAGCAGUGAUACAGAAACUUUUCUAUUAAUUUUCGCAUGCC
rnacentral:lncRNA from 1 species